rnacentral:misc_RNA from 1 species
UACGUAGGGUGCUAGCGUUGUUCGGAAUGACUGGGCGUAAAGCGCGCGUAGGCGGGCCCGUAUGUCGAUUGUGAAAGCCCUGGGCUUAACCUGGGAAUGGCAGUCGAAACUGCGGGUCUUGAGUGCCUGAGAGGAUGGCGGAAUUCCCGGUGUAGAAGUGAAAUUCGUAGAUAUCGGGAAGAACACCUGAGGCGAAGGCGGCUAUCUGGCGGUGCACUGACGCUGAGGCGCGAAAGCGUGGGGAGCAAACAGG